CUCCCUAUUGGCUGCUCGGCGAAGCCCGGUCUCCGGGUAAGAUGGCAGCGGACGGACAGUGCUCGCUCCCCGCUUCAUGGCGGCCGGUGACCCUCACCCACGUCGAAUAUCCUGCAGGUGAUCUCUCUGGCCAUCUCCUUGCCUACCUGAGCCUCAGCCCCGUAUUUGUCAUCGUUGGUUUUGUGACCCUCAUCAUAUUCAAGCGGGAGCUGCACACGAUCUCGUUCCUUGGGGGCUUGGCACUGAACGAGGGGGUCAACUGGCUGAUCAAACACGUCAUUCAGGAGCCACGGCCCUGUGGAGGUCCCCACACGGCAGUGGGCACCAAGUACGGGAUGCCCUCCAGCCAUUCCCAGUUUAUGUGGUUCUUCUCCGUCUAUUCCUUCCUUUUUCUGUAUUUAAGAAUGCACCAAACGAACAACGCCAGGUUCCUGGACUUGCUGUGGAGGCAUGUACUCUCCCUGGGUCUCCUCACCGUGGCGUUUCUAGUCUCCUAUAGCAGGGUCUACCUGCUGUACCACACCUGGAGCCAGGUGCUCUAUGGGGGCAUCGCUGGAGGCCUCAUGGCCAUCGCCUGGUUCGUCUUCACGCAGGAGGUCCUCACUCCCCUGUUCCCUAGGAUAGCAGCCUGGCCUAUCUCUGAGUUCUUCCUAAUCCGAGACACGAGCCUCAUUCCCAACGUACUCUGGUUUGAGUACACGGUAACCCGGGCAGAAGCCAGGAACAGACAGCGCAAGCUGGGGACGAAACUGCAGUGACGGGUGAGUGUGGCUGUCUCCAGCCUCCAGAUGUGGCCUGCACGAUGCCUUGCAGGGUGGAUGGAAUGACAGACAGAGGGACGAAGCAGAGACCUCUACAGACCCAAGUCACCGAGUGGAGCCUUUUUUUUUCUUAUUUUAAUUUUAACGAACAAGGUGGACCAAAGGGCUGAGCCAGCCCCUCAGCCAGGACCCUGGAGGGCCUGUUGCCGGGGGGCCUCACAGCCAGAGACCCUCACAGUGCUGCUGCCAGCCCCCAGUUGGGCGGAAAGUGCCCCUGACGUGGGCACUGGGGCAUGGGGUAGAGAAGGAGGGCUUGAAUCUCUGGCCGCAGGGCCAGGAAAUGUAGGUGGCGUGAAAAAUGCACACUAUUUAUUUUUUGGUUUUGUCAAAGGCAGAUGGGAUUUUGGAGAGGGACUGGAAGACCCAGCUCUGCGGGGGCUGCCCUGCGUACCGAGGAGCCCAGGUCAGCUUCCUAGGCCCUUUGCCCUGGGCCCGAGAGAUGGCCUGGGGGCCCAGGAGGAGGGAGCACCCCCAUGCCCCCCCUGCCACCAACGCCAUUCCAGAACCUCGGUCAGUGUUUCCCGUGUGGGAGCCAGGCCCAGAGAGAGCAAGCGUCUGCGCUGCCAUCGCUGUGUCCUACCCGCAUCGACCCUGCGCUGCAAGGGCUUUCUCUGGUUCCCUGUCCCCAAGACAGCGGUCCCUUUCUGAUGAAAGAGCCUGCGCCUGUGGGUGAGCAAACCCAAGCUGUUUACAGCUCUUUCCUGUCCUGCGUCCGCUAGUGGGUCGUCUUCAUCUCCACCCGAACAAAAUGCAGAGGAAGCAGGAGCUGGUGAGAGGAGUGGGGUAGCGGUGCCUACUGUCCCCACCCUUCCCUCCCCUCUGUGUGCUCUGAGCAUUCCUUGUCCUUCCCGACCCCCCUCCGAGAGGCUGGGAACCUGCUUGGGUCACCCCAAACCUGUGUCCGGGGUGUGGCUCACAGAUCCCCACUGCCCAGCUCGGAGGACGACUCCUCCCAAUCUUGAAGCCGCCUUGAAAUGGAGCUGUGGAGAGGAGAUGCGUCCAGACUUGGAAGCUUCUAGAACUGAACCAGGCUGCUCGGGACCUGUGUUCAGGGCCCGACCCCCCUCCCUCCCCCGGCCGCCUUUUCUUUGUGGAGGUUCCUAAUCUGCUGCUGAAGCACAAUAUUUUGGUGCUUUCUUUUCUCAUUUGUUAAAGACAGUGUCCAAAGCCAUUCCAGAUGCCAGGACCAGGGGCCUGUUUCUGGGGAAGCUUGAACAUGUUGACUGAGCUGAUGGGAGGAGCCGGGGACGUGGCUGUGCGGACACACAACCCGAGGGGCAAGGGCGUGGUUAAGACCAGAAGAUCGUGCGCGUCUCCAAGACACCUAGUCCCCUCCAGCCCCCAAAGCCAGGGUUGGAAUGGCCUCUGUGACAUACCCCACUGGGGUCUGAGGACAGCUCCCUUCCAUUGAGUUUUUUUAGUCCCAGUCUACCUCCCCCUGUGGCGCUGGCUGGCUCUGCUCUCAGUAAGCCUAGC